UCAAAAACAUUUGUGUGGGGGAGCUGUCUUUAUUCUUGUUUAUUUAUCAGUUCAAACAGAUUGUCAUGAACAUGCUUGAUUGCCUUCAUUUGACAGAGAAACCAAUAGUAUAUAAAAUCAUGGGCAGAGGUCCCCGAACCAUGGUGUACUAUAGUGGGCCUUUGUACUCUGUAUCUAAUCAUCUAACCUUAGAUGCAGGCAUUAGUUUAUGCGUUGAUACCGUCAUACGUCGUUGUUUCAUGACAAUGCCCAUCAAGCAGACAAAGAGUGACGACGACACUAGCUCACAUAUGAAGUGCAAAGGGUUUUCUUCCUUCUUGCAUGUUGGUGUAAAGAGCAGGUAAACCUGCUUGCGCGAUGGUACAAGCAGCAUCAACAGAGACUCUGGAACUGUUGUGGUAUAAUGGGCAGACAAUGGAAAUGUUGUUCACCUUCAAUUCUCAGAGGACCUACCACUAUUGUAUUGUCAAUUGUUUUGCUGUUUGGAGACCACAAGGCUUGACUCAGUAAACACCACUAUUUGACCGAGGUGAAUCUAGAGGCCGCCACUAAAUGGCUCCACGAAUAAAUGGGUGUGAAGUCUUGGAUGCUUGGUUUGCUCACAGGGAUCAGGCUGUGGAGUACGGAGUUCACAAGAUCUAGGAGAUCAACAACCUCGAGGAUGGGAGGAUAUAGAAGGAGAAAAUGUCUUCAGCCAGCAAUAGGGUGAGAACAGACUUGCCGAACAUGAAGGAAGGGUUGCAGCUGGAGCCUGACAAUAGCGGUGUUCUAAGUUGUGGAUACUGGACACUGCUGUUGGAAUACUAGAGCGACAUGAUGUUGUAAGGGAUCUAGAGAGGAAGCUUCUGGAGUUGCAAUAGGUGAUGCCUUCUUAUUUACUCCUUUUUUGGCACAAGGUCUUCUCUGUAUCAUAUAGUAUGUUACAAAAGCUAUGGCCAUUCAAUGAACAUAGUUCCCCUCAAUAUGCAACUUCAAGUGCAGCGCUACAAGAUUCUACUUCAUAGAGCUGUAUACAUGAAAACAAACAACUCCAGAACAUGUCUUCUCUCCCAAGCUUCAUGGUAGAUACCCAUGUACAAUUCUAAUUGCAGUGACAUGUUACAAAUUUC